AGUGAACGCUGGCGGUAGGCCUAACACAUGCAAGUCGAACGGCAGCACAGUAAGAGCUUGCUCUUACGGGUGGCGAGUGGCGGACGGGUGAGGAAUACAUCGGAAUCUACUUUUUCGUGGGGGAUAACGUAGGGAAACUUACGCUAAUACCGCAUACGACCUACGGGUGAAAGCAGGGGAUCUUCGGACCUUGCGCGAUUGGAUGAGCCGAUGUCGGAUUAGCUAGUUGGCGGGGUAAAGGCCCACCAAGGCGACGAUCCGUAGCUGGUCUGAGAGGAUGAUCAGCCACACUGGAACUGAGACACGGUCCAGACUCCUACGGGAGGCAGCAGUGGGGAAUAUUGGACAAUGGGCGCAAGCCUGAUCCAGCCAUGCCGCGUGGGUGAAGAAGGCCUUCGGGUUGUAAAGCCCUUUUGUUGGGAAAGAAAAGCAGCAGGUUAAUACCCCGCUGUUCUGACGGUACCCAAAGAAUAAGCACCGGCUAACUUCGUG
rnacentral:rRNA from 1 species